UGGGGAAUUUUGGACAAUGGGCGAAAGCCUGAUCCAGCAAUGCCGCGUGUGUGAAGAAGGCCUUCGGGUUGUAAAGCACUUUUGUCCGGAAAGAAAUCCUUGGCUCUAAUACAGUCGGGGGAUGACGGUACCGGAAGAAUAAGCACCGGCUAACUACGUGCCAGCAGCCGCGGUAAUACGUAGGGUGCAAGCGUUAAUCGGAAUUACUGGGCGUAAAGCGUGCGCAGGCGGUUUGCUAAGACCGAUGUGAAAUCCCCGGGCUCAACCUGGGAACUGCAUUGGUGACUGGCAGGCUAGAGUAUGGCAGAGGGGGGUAGAAUUCCACGUGUAGCAGUGAAAUGCGUAGAGAUGUGGAGGAAUACCGAUGGCGAAGGCAGCCCCCUGGGCCAAUACUGACGCUCAUGCACGAAAGCGUGGGGGAGCAAACAGGAUUAGAUACCCUGGUAGUCCACGCCCUAAACGAUGUCAACUAGUUGUUGGGGAUUCAUUUCCCNAGUAACGUAGCUAACGCGUGAAGUUGACCGCCUGGGGAGUACGGUCGCAAGAUUAAAACUCAAAGGAAUUGACGGGGUCAUAGCUGUUUCCU
rnacentral:rRNA from 1 species